CCCUUAGAUGUCCGGGGCCGCACGCGCGCUACACUGUAGAUCGCAGCGAGUGUAGUUUCUGUCCCUCCCGUAGCCGGGUGGGUAAACCAUUGAAAGAUCGAACGUGGCUUGGGAUCGGGCCUUGAAAUUAUUGCCCGUGAACGAGGAAUUCCCAGUAAGCGCGAGUCAUAAGCUGGCGUUGAUUACGUCCCUGCCCUUUGUACACACCGCCCGUCGCUGCCCGGAACUGAGCCGUUUCGAGAAGACUGAGGCUUGCUGACUUGAGGCCUUCACGGGCUUCUAGUCGGUGAAAAUCAAUUUAAUCGCAGCGGCUUGAACCGGGCAAAAGUCGUAACA
rnacentral:rRNA from 1 species